rnacentral:lncRNA from 1 species
ACUGGGGUUGUAGAGGGUUAGUAGUUGGCACUAUUUUUAGGAUACUGGAUCCUUUACAAGGCAUAAUUGGACAAAGCCAAAGGAAAAAUUCCACAUAAUUCAUUCAUUAAGAUAAUGAAAAAUUAUAUCAAAAUUGUAAUGGCCGAGUCUUGUAUUACAUUUAUACCAGAUUAGCUCUCCUUUUUCAAAUAAUUUGAGCUGAUUAGGUAUGGACACACUGUCAUUGGUGGCCGUCAUUCUGGUCUUUGCAGAACAAAGUUCACAUGUUAAACUAUGCGAUCAUGUGCAAGAGAUGCUCAAGUUAUGAUUUCAAGUUGGGAAUUGGAGAGUUCUAAUUGAGUUCUUCCACGUCUCAUAUGCUUCCAUCCAAUCAUCGACUAUUAUAUAUAAAAUUAAGAUUUAUUCAAGUUCUUAUUUUUUGUGGAAAUUAAUUUUAGUGCCAGUCCGCUAUAUUUAGAUUAACCUUAUAACAAUAUAUUUGAGUUUGUUUUAAGUUAAAGUAAAGUAAUAAUAUCUUUAUCUUAUAGUAGAAGAAAGGAGAAUAUGAUUUGAUUAAGAGGAAUGGAGGGUUACCUCAGCUAUUAAGAUCCUACAAAGAGAAAAUUAUAUUCGGUGAGAUAAGGAUCUUCGUGAGAGCAGCCGUCUAAUAU